CCGAUACCAUGAUGAUCACAUAGUUCAGCCGAUGAAUAGUGACGAGCACUAUUAAUAGUCUUUCGCUCCUAUCUGAUGUAUCUG